rnacentral:rRNA from 1 species
ACGAACGCUGGCGGCGUGCUUAACCCCUGCAAGUCGAACGGAAAGGCCCUGCUUUUGUGGGGUGCUCGAGUGGCGAACGGGUGAGUAACACGUGAGUAACCUGCCCUUGACUUUGGGGUAACUUUAGGAAAAUUGGGCUAAUACCGGAUAGGAGCUCCUGCUGCAUGGGUGGGGGUGGAAAGGUUCGGCGGUUGGGGAUGGACUCGCGGCUUAUCCGCUUGUUGGUGGGGUAGUGGCUUACCAAGGCUUUGACGGGUAGCCGGCCUGAGAGGGUGACCGGCCACAUUGGGACUGAGAUACGGCCCAGACUCCUACGGGAGGCAGCAGUGGGGAAUAUUGCACAAUGGGCGGAAGCCUGAUGCAGCAACGCCGCGUGCGGGAUGACGGCCUUCGGGUUGUAAACCGCUUUCGCCUGUGACGAAGCGUGAGUGACGGUAAUGGGUAAAGAAGCACCGGCUAACUACGUG